GCAGAAGUACUCAAGCUGGUGACGAGGCGCCCCUGCUAAGGGCGUAGGCCGGGAAACCGACGCGAGAGUUCGAAUCUCUCCUUCUGCG
rfam:Clostridiales bacterium 41_21_two_genomes Ley3_66761_scaffold_96, whole genome shotgun sequence.